rnacentral:rRNA from 1 species
GAGGAAGUAAAAGUCGUAACAAGGUUUCCGUAGGUGAACCUGCGGAAGGAUCAUUAUUGAAUAAACCUGAUGUGGUUGUAGCUGGCUUUUCGAAGCAUGUGCUCACCCGUCAUCUUUAUCUCUCCACCUGUGCACCUUUUGUAGUCUUGGAUACCUCUCGAGGAAACUCGGAUUUGGGAUCGCUGUGCUGUACAAGUCGGCUUUCCUUGCAUUUCCAAGACUAUGUUUUUAUAUACACCAAAGAAUGUUUAAAGAAUGUCAUCAAUGGGAACUUGUUUCCUAUAAAAACUAUACAACUUUCAGCAACGGAUCUCUUGGCUCUCGCAUCGAUGAAGAACGCAGCGAAAUGCGAUAAGUAAUGUGAAUUGCAGAAUUCAGUGAAUCAUCGAAUCUUUGAACGCACCUUGCGCUCCUUGGUAUUCCGAGGAGCAUGCCUGUUUGAGUGUCAUUAAAUUCUCAACCUUCCAGCUUUUUAUUAGCUUGGUUAGGCUUGGAUGUGGGGGUUGCGGGCUUCAUUACGAGGUCGGCUCUCCUUAAAUGCAUUAGCGGAACUUCUGUGGACCGUCUAUUGGUGUGAUAAUUAUCUACGCCGUGGAUGUGAAGCAGCUUUAUGAGGUUCAGCUUCUAACCGUCCAUUGACUUGGACAAAUUUUGACAAUUUGACCUCAAAUCAGGUAGGACUACCCGCUGAACUUAAGCAUAUC